UACGAAGGGGGCUAGCGUUGUUCGGAAUUACUGGGCGUAAAGCGUAUGUAGGCGGAUCGUUAAGUCGGGGGUGAAAUCCCGGGGCUCAACCUCGGAACUGCCUUUGAUACUGCGAAUCUCGAGUCCGAUAGAGGUGGGUGGAAUUCCUAGUGUAGAGGUGAAAUUCGUAGAUAUUAGGAAGAACACCGGUGGCGAAGGCGGCCCACUGGAUCGGUACUGACGCUGAGGUGCGAAAGCGUGGGGGAGCAAACAGG
rnacentral:rRNA from 1 species